rnacentral:lncRNA from 1 species
GGUAUGUGAUCCUUAAUUCAUGGAAAAAUCAAAUCAAUCCGGUUGAAUUAAUGGUCAAGAAGAUUAUAUGUGGCAGGUUUCAUAUAUACUAAUCCUUUUUGGGUUCUAGUUAAUUCAGUGGACUUCUAUGGUUUCCCUUCACAAACUCAAACUUCAUGCUGAGGUUCUAAAAGAGUGUGACACUGUUUUUGCAGAGUGAAUAUGUAAUAGCAUUCUUUAGUACAAAAGUUUACAAUGUAAUAAAGUGUCUUGCUAUACUAUCUAUACUUAGUGGUUUGGUUAUAUGAGCAUAAAAUCACAUGUUAUAUGAGUUGUCUCACUACACAUAAAGGUUGUUGUACUCUCUUGUAUUUGUGUUAAUUUUGUUUUAGUGCUUGAGGUUGGUGUUAGAGUGUUUGAAGUGUUGUCUAUUUCUAGUGAUACAUGUUUG